CCUGUCCUGAGCCAGGGCAAUGGACUAAGGGAGUCCUGGACCACCUAGAUUGAAGACUAAACCCCAUCUCUCUGGUGGGGACAGCAGGAUGCUCAGCAGCACCUCUAACAUCCAUUCUCCUACUGAGAUGCCUGGACCAUUCACACAUUCCAAGGAGCCAAGAGAGGAACUGGCUUCAAGCAUCUGCCUCACUUCCCUUCGCCCUCAUUGAUUGGCUGGGGCCCACUGCCCAGAGCUCAUUUAGCAGACGGACCAUGGUCCUAAUAAGGAUCAUCUGUGCAGACAGGUGGAGCAGUGCUAACCCAAGUGGCCUCCAGGAGAGCUGUGAAAGUCAGGAGCCUCGUGGAGCUGGCAAGUCCAACAAGAUGAUUGCGCCUCCAAAAAUAGGUUUCUCUGGUGGAAGCUGCUGGAAAAGGGAGCGGUUUCUCCCUGGAUGACUUCCUUGGGUGAAUCCUAAGCUCGUGGACUUAGUGCUGGAAGGGACCUUCCUGGACAUCUUGUCCAAACUCAUCCUUUUCCAGAUCCCACAAAAGUGAGGCGACUGACCCAGUAAGGGGCUGAGGUAGGACUCAAACCUACGUCCGGUGCCUUCGAAUCCAGGAUUCAUCCCUAGUUCUACGGACUCACAGG
rnacentral:lncRNA from 1 species